rnacentral:rRNA from 1 species
AUUGAACGCUGGCGGCAUGCCUUACACAUGCAAGUCGAACGGCAGCACGGGUGCUUGCACCUGGUGGCGAGUGGCGAACGGGUGAGUAAUACAUCGGAACAUGUCCUGUAGUGGGGGAUAGCCCGGCGAAAGCCGGAUUAAUACCGCAUACGAUCUACGGAUGAAAGCGGGGGACCUUCGGGCCUCGCGCUAUAGGGUUGGCCGAUGGCUGAGUAGCUAGUUGGUGGGGUAAAGGCCUACCAAGGCGACGAUCAGUAGAUGGUCUGAGAGGACGACCAGCCACACUGGGACUGAGACACGGCCCAGACUCCUACGGGAGGCAGCAGUGGGGAAUUUUGGACAAUGGGCGAAAGCCUGAUCCAGCAAUGCCGCGUGUGUGAAGAAGGCCUUCGGGUUGUAAAGCACUUUUGUCCGGAAAGAAAUCCUUGGCUCUAAUACAGUCGGGGGAUGACGGUACCGGAAGAAUAAGCACCGGCUAACUACGUG